AGAGUUUGAUCAUGGCUCAGAACGAACGCUGGCGGCAGGCUUAACACAUGCAAGUCGAACGCGUGUAGCAAUACACGAGUGGCGCACGGGUGAGUAACGCGUGGAUAUCUGCCUUUUGGUUCGGAAUAACCCCGGGAAACUGGGGCUAAUACCGGAUGGUUCCUACGGGAUAAAGAUUUAUCGCCAAAAGAUGAGUCCGCGUACGAUUAGCUAGUUGGUGAGGUAAUGGCUCACCAAGGCGACGAUCGUUAGCUGGUCUGAGAGGACGAUCAGCCACACUGGGACUGAGACACGGCCCAGACUCCUACGGGAGGCAGCAGUGGGGAAUAUUGGACAAUGGGGGCAACCCUGAUCCAGCCAUGCCGCGUGAGUGAUGAAGGCCUUCGGGUUGUAAAGCUCUUUUGGCGGGGACGAUGAUGACGGUACCCGCAGAAUAAGCCCCGGCUAACUUCGUGCCAGCAGCCGCGGUAAGACGAAGGGGGCUAGCGUUGUUCGGAAUUACUGGGCGUAAAGCGCGUGUAGGCGGUUGUCCAAGUUGGAUGUGAAAGCCUUGAGCUUAACUCAAGAAAUGCAUUCAGGACUGGAUGACUAGAGGACCGGAGAGGAUAGUGGAAUUCCCAGUGUAGUGGUGAAAUACGUAGAGAUUGGGAAGAACACCAGUGGCGAAGGCGGCUAUCUGGACGGUUUCUGACGCUAAGACGCGAAAGCGUGGGGAGCAAACAGGAUUAGAUACCCNNGUAGUCC
rnacentral:rRNA from 1 species